AACGAACGCUGGCGGCAUGCCUAACACAUGCAAGUCGAACGAGAUCUUCGGGUCUAGUGGCGCACGGGUGCGUAACGCGUGGGAAUCUGCCCUUUGGUUCGGAAUAACAGUUGGAAACGACUGCUAAUACCGGAUGAUGACGAAAGUCCAAAGAUUUAUCGCCAGAGGAUGAGCCCGCGUAGGAUUAGCUAGUUGGUGUGGUAAAGGCGCACCAAGGCGACGAUCCUUAGCUGGUCUGAGAGGAUGAUCAGCCACACUGGGACUGAGACACGGCCCAGACUCCUACGGGAGGCAGCAGUGGUGAAUAUUGGACAAUGGGCGAAAGCCUGAUCCAGCAAUGCCGCGUGGGUGAUGAAGGCCUUAGGGUUGUAAAGCUCUUUUACCCGGGAUGAUAAUGACAGUACCGGGAGAAUAAGCUCCGGCUAACUCCGUGCCAGCCGCCGCGGUAA
rnacentral:rRNA from 1 species